rnacentral:rRNA from 1 species
GACGAACGCUGGCGGCGCGCCUAACACAUGCAAGUCGAACGGAGCUUAGAGAGCUUGCUUUUUAAGCUUAGUGGCGAACGGGUGAGUAACGCGUGAGUAACCUGCCCUAGAGUGGGGGACAACAGUUGGAAACGACUGCUAAUACCGCAUAAGCCCACGGUGCCGCAUGACACUGAGGGAAAAGGAUUUAUUCGCUUUAGGAUGGACUCGCGUCCAAUUAGCUAGUUGGUGAGGUAACGGCCCACCAAGGCGACGAUUGGUAGCCGGACUGAGUGGUUGAACGGCCACAUUGGGACUGAGACACGGCCCAGACUCCUACGGGAGGCAGCAGUGGGGGAUAUUGCACAAUGGGGGAAACCCUGAUGCAGCGACGCCGCGUGGAGGAAGAAGGUUUUCGGAUUGUAAACUCCUGUCGUUAGGGACGAUAAUGACG